AGGAAAAGAGAAGGAGAAAUGUGGUGACACAGCAGGAUAACCCCUAGCCCUGGUUGACCACAGUUACUUUGUAUCUAAUAGCUGGUGUUGCUGAAUGUGCCUACAAAGAGAAUGUUCUUAACAGCAAAAAAAAGGGCAUGAUCGAUUUCUCUUCCAUACAGCGAUGAUCAGAUAUUGCUUCAGUCAGCAGAGCAACAGCCCUUGACUCCGCUGGUGCCUGCCCUACUGUCUUUCUCCACUCUGAGCUUUGUUUCUUUUUGAAUGUAAUGAUAAAAAAGAGUGAAACCAU
ensembl:lincRNA Gm29020 predicted gene 29020